CCUACGGGAGGCAGCAGUGAGGAAUAUUGGUCAAUGGCCGGAAGGCUGAACCAGCCAAGUCGCGUGAGGGAAUAAGGCCCUAUGGGUCGUAAACCUCUUUUGUCAGGGAGCAAAGGCGUCCACGAGUGGACGAAAGGAGAGUACCUGAAGAAAAAGCAUCGGCUAACUCCGUGCCAGCAGCCGCGGUAAUACGGAGGAUGCGAGCGUUAUCCGGAUUUAUUGGGUUUAAAGGGUGCGUAGGCGGGAUGCCAAGUCAGCGGUCAAAUACGGGGGCUCAACCUGCGUCCGCCGUUGAAACUGGCGUUCUUGAGUGGGCGAGAAGUACGCGGAAUGCGUGGUGUAGCGGUGAAAUGCAUAGAUAUCACGCAGAACCCCGAUUGCGAAGGCAGCGUACCGGCGCCCGACUGACGCUGAAGCACGAAAGCGUGGGUAUCGAACAGGAUUAGAUACCCUUGUAGUC
rnacentral:rRNA from 1 species